UCCACCUAAAAACAUCACAAAACCUGGGGAUUUGUACUCUUAGAAUGAAGCAUUGAUUUUGGAUCUGCCAAUAAUAUAAAAAAUCUGAACUCGAAUAAAUUAAUGGAUGGAAAUAUCAACUGUGGUUUCUCUCUUCAUACUUGCUUUUGUGGAUCGAUGUAGCCUUGCUCGAGAAAGGAGCUUCAACAUCACAAAUCCAAUGCCCAGGACGUAGUUCAUGCAUAUCAGAAGCCCACACCAUCCUUCGUGGAUCCACUGUCGGCAUGCCAAAGGGUGUCGCCGUCGCCACCAAGGUCACGAUGGAUGCACGUAGAGGGGGACCGUGGCGCUCGUAACAAAUAUUGUGCCUAGAUACAACGGAUCUGCCGCUGGGGACGCUGCCGCUGCUGAUGAAGAGGAAGCCUGCCGCUGCUGAUGAAGGGGGCGCCUAGAUACUACGGAUCUGCCGUCGAGGAUGCUGCUGAUGAAGGGGGCGCCACCGUUGUUGCCGCAUAUGUCGAGAUGAAGAACGGGUGUGGCUGUUGAUUAACUUAGGGAGGCGGUGGAAUGGUCUACUCGGCGACCUAUCUGCCGGAUCGGAGAUAGGCGAGGACGAUGGCCUGUGCGAGGGGAGGCAGCGUGGGAGAGGAGGCGGCUGCGUGGGCGUGGGCAUGUGCGUGAUGGAGUUGUGAUUGGACCGAGAUUGCGGAGGAGAUGGAGCGCGAGAUGGUCCCACCUGCCGGCGCAUGGCUUCUUUGACUCUC
rnacentral:lncRNA from 1 species